UUUGUUCGUGUGGCUCGAGUUA
rnacentral:miRNA from 1 species